rnacentral:rRNA from 1 species
UACGUAGGCAGCAAGCGUUGUCCGGAAUUACUGGGCGUAAAGAGCUCGUAGGUGGUUUGUCGCGUUGUUCGUGAAAACUCACAGCUUAACUGUGGGCGUGCGGGCGAUACGGGCAGACUGGAGUACUGCAGGGGAGACUGGAAUUCCUGGUGUAGCGGUGGAAUGCGCAGAUAUCAGGAGGAACACCGGUGGCGAAGGCGGGUCUCUGGGCAGUAACUGACGCUGAGGAGCGAAAGCGUGGGGAGCGAACAGG